AACUUUAAUCGCAGAAAUAUUUUAUUAGUCGGAAACAUCUUACAAUGGAGCAAAUUCAAGGAAUGUCCCUUUAAAAACAACAUAAAAUGAUAAGAACGUAAUACAUACAUGUCAUAAGCACCUGACAAUUACAGGUGGUAUUACAUAAACAUUGUACAUAGCAUAUUAAUAAAGAAACCAACUAUUGUAGGUGGGGGAAAAUCCGCCACAUUGCUAGGAAAGCUGCUGCUAGCCAGCGGCAGCUAAUCCUAGCAACCCCCACCCACAGCAGUUUGACCAUCAAUAAUGAGUAAAAUAAUAUCUAAUGAUAAACCACAUAAACAGUUGUAAAAACAAUCUAGUUGCCCUCUUAUCCAAGGUAAUUUUAAUGUCCAUUUGGAUUCAUAUUUUGACAACAACUAAUUUGACAUCCACAGAUAACUGACAGUUGAAUACAGCAACACUGGGUAUCUACUGCUACACAUUUACAAUAACUAAAAUAUUUAAGAAUGAUGGUAUUUAGUAUCUUUUCGGGAAUACCCUGCAUUCAAUGUAUACCUUCUGGCCCAUUAAUUAUGCAGCAGUUAAAACUGGACACAUGCUAGGUUACCCUGUAAACUACGAGAUUGCCAUGCAAGCGAUGCAGUCUACGGUACACUCCAAGAAUGCCAUGCAUUCGACGAAGCUGACAUGUACUGUCCAUAGUCUAUAUCUAUAUAUAAACCAACAUUUCUCCAGUGAAGGAUGUAAUUGAUAAAGAUACAUGUGGAAGAUAAACUUGGGUUGGGGGAAUUCAAAUCAAUUGUGUGGUUGAGAUUUUUGCUAUUGUCAGCCAUCAACAGUUCAUAUUAAUAUACAUUGUUGAUAGUUUGGCCCAUCAGAUAAUGAUGAAUAGAAAGAAGAAACUGUCCAAAAACUGUAAUUUCUUUAUCGACUGGGGUUCAUAUUUUGAAUUCCAAUUAAAUCAGAUGAUCAUAAAAAUACCAACAAAAGGCAAAAUAUAAUAAUAUAUUAAUUCUAAAAUAUAUGGUAAAUUGCAAACAAGAAUUCUACAGAAUUAAAUGUCUGGCCUACCAUAAACAUAUUCAGUGUCAUCGAUAAUGCAUCUGUAGAUAUCUAUCUCAAUGCAUGUUAAAAAUGUUUUUAAAACAUUAAAAAAAAAUAAACUUCAAAAAAUUAAAUUAAAAUUUUAAAAAAAUAAAGUCGAAGAACAAAUUUUGAUGUGCAAUGAGGUGAACAUUCAUAGACGACUAUAAAUGAAGCUUUACUGAUUCAGGGCAUGUGAUUUAUGAGACAUGUAGCUACAUUUGUACAAUCAAUGUUGAGCUAAAUGCAAAUGUUGAUGAUGUAGCCAACGAAAACGUUAUACCUAUACUUAAUUUUUUUUUAGUUUGUACAUUUGCAAGUGCCGACAACACUGCAGUAAAUAGCGGCAGAGAAGAGCUGAAGAAGGUGUUGAAGAACUACAAGUGGGAAGAUAUCUUCAACAUGGAUGAAACCGGACUGUUUUUUAAACUGGGCCCAAAUUACAGCUUAGCAUCAAAGCUAGUGAAAGGGGUUAAACGGUCAAGGGAGAGAAUAACAGUUGCAUUGUGUGCAAAUGCUACCGGGGAAAUAAAAAUUAAGCCACGAUUCAGUAGUCCGGAAAUUCGUUUAUCCGGUCAAUUUGUGGAGAAAACCAUUCUGUCCGGAUUAACGAGGUUCGACUGUACAUGUGUUGUAAAGGUAAGACAAAAAUCACCAGACUUGGCAACAUCAGGAUAAACAAUGUUUUUGACAGUAUGGUCACUGGUUAUGAAAGUAUAUUAUAUGAAUAUUGUAUGACAAUGUUUUGGGGAUUUUUAAAAACGAGUUCAAUUUAUUAGGAUUUUAUGCACUUAUUUUGAUGAUAAAAACACUUAAAACAAGUAAAUAUCAUUGAUUAAUUAAAAUAACAGUGUUUCAUUAGUAGUAUUUGAUAUACAUAUCAUUUAUUAGUUGUAUAAGUGAACUGGACAAAAAGUAACGUCCUGGCUCAUAGUGAAAUUUUAAAAAGUAAAUGUUACAUCACAAAGAAUUUUUUGUUGUUUUAAUUUGCUAUACGUCAUUUAGAAAUAGACUGGAUAUUGCGUUAAACAGUGUAUUUCAACAAGCAAACAUUCUAUCAGGAGAGCAGAGUUUUGGAAUUUACUGCAGUGUUAAAACAGUGAUGUCCAUUUACUUUUCACUUUAUAAGUCAUUAUUUUUUUUAAACAAAAACAACAUUAGGCCUGACAUGCUUAUACUACUAUAUGUAACGAGUCUAUAAAUGAUAAAACUGCAUUUCCAUUUAAAAAGGAUUUUCAGUGAAGGAGAUCAUAAGAGUCAGAAUGUUAUUACCAUGGAAUGGCCCUUUUAUAUUUUGUAAAACACAUGCCUCUGAGAAGUAUAGGUUAUGGAGACGAGCUCUAGUUUAUUAUUUAAAGGAAUGUCCCCAUUUCAACAUCACAGACCCUUGUUCCAUUCUGUUGUAACUUUAUUCAAAUGUUUUACAGAUUUGUAGAUUAACCAACCUUUGUGUCCACUUUAAGAGGUUGAAACUAGUAUCUGCGACUUUUAACUGUUACACUUGUUUUGUGUUUGAACAUUUAUAGUCUGCCUCUGGAUCACAAGGAAAUGUUGAACAUGCAUGAUCCCAAAGAACUGCUGCGUCCUAUGUACAAGAUAUACGUAAAAUCCACGGUCAUCUGCAAAAUUAAGUCUGCCUCUGCAUCACAAGAAAAUAUUGACCAUGCAUGAUCCCAAAGAACUGCUGCGUCCUAUGUACAACAUUUACGUAAAAUUGACGGUCAUCUGCAAAAUUAAGGAUCACCAGAGCCUCUGUGGCUUGAUCACAAGCGUUACAGAAGUUAAAACUGAUAACAAUGAGAGAGAGCAGGGAGAGUGUGCCUGACAAGAUAAAUCCUCAAGCUUCUAGAGAGAAAUCAUAUCAGUCGGUUUUGCAGUCUGUUAUCUCUAGAAGACUUCAACGACAAAAGAAGUUGGUGAACUUGCUCAAUAAUGUAAAUAAUCGGGGUGUUAUUAAGUUUAUGUUUAUCUUGAUCACCUCUGUAAACACUCUGUAAGUCAUUAUCAAAAUUAUAUGUGGGUUUGGUUUUAUUAUUAUUAUUUAUUUUGUUUUAGCUUAUUACACAUAUACUUAACUCUGGGCCAAUGUAUAGACUUUUGAGUAAUUCUUUGCAAGAGUUAUAUUAUUUUAGCAAGUUUCGAUCACAAGUCACUUCUAAACAUUGAUUGAGUAAAAUUUUACAUAUGAUAUUUGACAAUUUAUAUUUUAAAAAAUGUAACAAUUCGCGGUACAUACCUUUGUGACAUAAAAUGUGGAUGUUCUUCACUUUUUAAAAUUUCAGGUGAGUGAUAAAUCACUCUCCUCAUAACUUGACAUAAGUGCCAGGCGAGUGAUUUGCAUUCCAUAGAAAAAACUGAGAAUACAGCUUGGACAUAUUGACAAAAAUAAGUUUUGAAUAGUGCACAUUGAAAAAUCACUGAUAAUAAUAUAAUAAUAUCAUGAUAUAUUUUAAAUACUAGGGCCAACUGGGCUUAAAGCAGCAUCUAAGUGAAAGAAAGAAAUGUUUUAUUUAACGACACACUCAACACAUUUUAUUUACAGUUAUAUGGCAUCAGAUAUAUGGUCAAGGACCACACACAGAUAUUGAGAGAGGAAACCUG
rnacentral:lncRNA from 1 species